rnacentral:rRNA from 1 species
AUGACUGUCCGGGCGUCCGAAGGUCGUCGAUCGUCCGUAGGUUUGGCUCGGUUGCAUGUCGUCCGGUCGUCCGGUCCGCUUCGGACGUCCGUAGAUUUGGUUCGGGUAGCGACGUACCGGACGUCCGGAAAGCUCGGUCGUCCGUGUCCUGGCACUCGUCGGACGUCCGGACUGGGUCGGUCGUCCGACGCCUGUAGCUUCCACGGCAGCUCUUCUUCUUGUCCAUCAUGCUUGGGGUCCUCGCCGUCUUGGUUCUUGUAUGUAGCUGUUCCGUGGCUCGCUUCCAGGCACCUGAUCACACACAGAGUUUCCAAAUGA